rnacentral:rRNA from 1 species
CGGAAUAAGCCCGGGAAAGUGGGUCUAAUACNGGAUGUGCCCUUGGGGGGAAAGAUUUAUCGGCUUUAGAGGGGCCCGCGUCUGAUUAGCUAGUUGGUGGUGUAAUGGACCACCAAGGCGACGAUCAGUAGCUGGUCUGAGAGGAUGAUCAGCCACAUUGGGACUGAGACACGGCCCAAACUCCUACGGGAGGCAGCAGUGGGGAAUCUUGCGCAAUGGGCGAAAGCCUGACGCAGCCAUGCCGCGUGAAUGAUGAAGGUCUUAGGAUUGUAAAAUUCUUUCACCGGGGACGAUAAUGACGGUACCCGGAGAAGAAGCCCCGGCUAACUUCGUGCCAGCAGCCGCGGUAAUACGAAGGGGGCUAGCGUUGCUCGGAAUUACUGGGCGUAAAGGGAGCGUAGGCGGACAUUUAAGUCAGGGGUGAAAUCCCGGGGCUCAACCUCGGAACUGCCUUUGAUACUGGGUGUCUUGAGUGUGAUAGAGGUAUGUGGAACUCCGAGUGUAGAGGUGAAAUUCGUAGAUAUUCGGAAGAACACCAGUGGCGAAGGCGACAUACUGGAUCAUUACUGACGCUGAGGCUCGAAAGCGUGGGGAGCAAACAGGAUUAGAUACCCUGGUAGUCCAC